NNGCCGGUGGUGUAAGGCGAACAUCGCUGCCCGGAAAGCAGAAGAUGCGGGUUCGAGUCCCGCCUGGCGCA
rnacentral:tRNA from 1 species